GUGCUCGCUUUGGCAGCACAUAUACUAAAAUUGGAACAAUACAGAGAAGAUUAGCAUGGCCUCUGUGCAAGAAUGACAUGCAAAUGUGUGAAAUGUUGCAUGUUUUU
ensembl:snRNA U6 U6 spliceosomal RNA